ACUGCUCAGUAACACGUCGUUAACAUGCCCUCUGGUCAGGGAUACCUACGGGAAACUGUGGUUAAUACCUGAUAGGAGCUGCAGCCUGGAAUGGCGCAUCUCCUAAACUCGUGCCGGAGGAUUGGACGGCGGCGGAUUAGGUAGUUGGCGGUGUAACGGACCACCAAGCCAAAGAUCCGUACGGGCCAUGAGAGUGGUAGCCCGGAGAGGGACACUGAGAUACUGGUCCCAGCCCUACGGGGUGCAGCAGGCGCGAAACCUUUCCAAUGUGCGCAAGCGUGAGAAGGGAAUCCCCAGUGCUCAUGCACAGCAUGGGCUUUUGCCAAGUGUAAAUAGCUUGGAGAAUAAGUGGUGGGUAAGACUGGUGCCAGCCGCCGCGGUAACCCCAGCGCCACGAGUGGCAACCGCGUUUAUUGGGCCUAAAGCGUCCGUAGCCGGUCCGGUAAAUCCUUUGUGAAAUUGUUCGGCUUAACCGAACAGCGUGCAAGGGAGACUGCCGGGCUCGAGACCGGGAGGAGUCAGAAGUAUUCCUGAGGGAGCGGUAAAAUGUUAUAAUCUCAGGAGGACUACCUGUGGCGAAGGCGUCUGACCAGAACGGAUCUGACGGUGAGGGACGAAAGCCAGGGGAGCGAACCGGAUUAGAUACCCGAGUAGUCCUGGCCGUAAACGCUGUGAGCUAGGUGUUGUGCUAACUACAUGUUGGCGCAGUGUCGAAAGGAAGCUGUUAAGCUCACCGUCUGGGAAGUACGGUCGCAAGACUGAAACUUUAAGGAAUUGGCGGGGGAGCA
rnacentral:rRNA from 1 species